AACGCACAUUGCGCCCUCUAGUAUCCUGGAGGGCAUGCCUGUUCGAGCGUCACUACAACACUCAAGCUCUGCUUGGCGUUGGGGAACUAGGGCCGAUUUGUGCCAAUAGCCUCCUAAAAUCAUUGGCGGGACUGUGAUAGAACCCGGACGAAGUAGCGAUUACAGCGUCUAAGGAUUCUAGGCAGCUUCUAGCUGAGAAACCAUAGGCUCCCUGAGAGCCGGUUAUAUGACGUGUUGACCUCGGAUCAGGUAGGAAUACCCGCUGAACUUAA
rnacentral:misc_RNA from 1 species